rnacentral:tRNA from 1 species
AGGAUUAUAGUUUAAAAAAAAAACAUUUGAUUUGCAUUCAAAAAAUAUUAAACAAUUAAUUUAUCUUA